UUUUUCGGAGAGUUUGAUCCUGGCUCAGGACGAACGCUGGCGGCGUGCCUAAUACAUGCAAGUCGAGCGGACAGAAGGGAGCUUGCUCCCGGAUGUUAGCGGCGGACGGGUGAGUAACACGUGGGUAACCUGCCUGUAAGACUGGGAUAACUCCGGGAAACCGGAGCUAAUACCGGAUAGUUCCUUGAACCGCAUGG
rnacentral:rRNA from 1 species